rnacentral:lncRNA from 1 species
CCUAAUUUUGUAGAAUUUUUUUAGCUCAAUUAUAUUCUUCCAAGAGGCCCAAUUUCAAGCCCUACAAAACUUAGCUUAUACCCCUUUUCUUUAAGAAAAAAAACCUACACUUCAUCACUUCAUCUUCUUCUCAUUACACAAUUAGACAAAAAGGAGAGAUAAAAACCAUGGCUGCCCUAUCUUCUUCAACAACAACAAACCUAGCUGAACCUUUACAACAAUGGAGAAACAACCUUGAAGAGCCCUAGAAGACCUCAGCCGCCGUCGCCGCCAUCCUUAUGACUGAAUUUGCCGUCGCCUCUGCUGCUUCUUCAGUUCAUGCCAAAUGACCAGUGACCAGCCAUAGCCAAAACUCGCCAUACACCAACAGCCACUCCAAGCCCAGCGACCACCAACUCAAUUUUCAUCCACUUCUACUUCUUCACCAUCCCUUCUCCACGCCGUCGACCAGCCAAAUUCCAACGACCCUCCAAAUAUUUAUCUUCUUCUUCAUCUCUGAAUACACUCACACAUAAAAAUCAAAGAUAAGGAAAACAAAAAAGGAACGAAGAGGGGAGGCGAUUUGGAUUGAGGCGAGGUUUCCGUUCGAGUUCCGCACUUGAGCGGGUCCGGUUUGUAGUUCAUUUGAUUCUGUCCGAAAUUUUGAUUUGCAAUUUGAAUCCAGUGAUUCUCAAACUUUAAGGGAAAUCUUAACUCAACAGGUUAUACUCAUCUCUUUUCUCCUCUUGCCUUCGUUGCUACUGAUUGAGUUUUAAAUAACCAUUCAAGGGUGAUUAGAUUUCUGUGGCUAAGUUGUUUGGACAAUUUGAGUGAUUCCAUAAAAUUUGCUUGUCCAGAAAGUGACAAUUGUUGCUUGUUUGUUAUAGUUUUGUAUUACGUUUAUGAGUAAUUUAGAACUCAAUCCAUGUUUUCCGAUCCAUGAUUUGGUGGUUGAAAUUUUGUUGAAAGUCUGCUAACUGAAGCAUGAUUUUUGAAUUAAUGGACCAUGUUUAUUGUGGUUUAAAUUGGAAAUCAAGCAUUGAGAUUUUGAGAAGAUUGAAUUUGGGGUCAGAAUUGGAUAUUAUAAAAUAACAAACAAAAAUUGAUUUUUAAAAAAAAUGAUUCAAUUACUUUACUUUUCUUAAUAAUCGUUAGGAACAUGUUUAGGACGAUCACAUUCGGGUAGGCAAGCUAAAGGGUUUUGUUAGUUUCGAGGCGAGAAGUCUGUUUUCGUAGUUAAAUUUAUUCUAAGAAUGCCCUGACAAACUUAUAUAUAUUAUUAUCCGGGGUAUGCCCCGAGGAACUAUGUAAAUAUUUUGGAGGCCUUGACGAGCAUGGCGGAGAAGUCGUAGUAUAUGUUAGCUUAGGAUGUUUCUUGUUUUUUUUUUUUUCAUUUUCUUUCAUUUAGAUGGGGACAACCUCGAACCUCUUGUGUGUUUAUUUUAUUUCUGUGUGUGUUACCUCAAUUCGAAUAUUUUAGAAAGCCAACUUGAUUCGGUACACAACUUUGACUUUCACGGGACAUGGGGAGUACCUAACACCUUCUCCCCGAGUCAAAUGAACCCCCUUACCUAAAUAUGUAGUGUAGACUUAGUUUUGGUGUCUUAAGUGUUUGAAAGGAAAAAUUAUUUUUAAAAAUAUGGUGACCUGAUAUACCGAAAUCAAAAUCAGGUGGCGACUCUGAGUUUAUUUUCUUUGAAGAACAAUUUUGUCACUUUUCAAAUGGAAAACCCUUUUCAAGAUUUUUACUAAAUCCUUUUAUUUAAUUUAAGAGGGUUAAGUAGAGGUUUGUUUAAAAAAAAGGGUGUGAUAUCUUUGGCGACUCUGCUGGGGACUUGCAGGUUCGAGCUAGUACUUGAUCUUGUUGGCUUUUAGGAUGUUCGGUUGAGGUUUUUAUGUGUUUUGCUUGAUUUAUUUGAUUUUUAUUUUUGUUUAUGUCUUUUUAGUAUUUGCUAGUUGCUUACUUGUUUACAUAUUUUUGCUUUAUGUGUUUACUUCUUUAUAACUGUCAUCAUUUGCAUAACCCCGAGUCUUCUUUCUGCAAUAAGUCUUCCGGAGUACGUGAGCGUACACAGCCUAUUUGUGAGUCACUUGUGUCAUUAAGGGGGUGGCAUGGGAGUGUGGAGUGGGCGGACAACUAGAGCAACCACCAUCGACCACAUGCCGCCCCAUAUUGCCUUUUCUAGUGAACCCUAAACCUAGGUCAGCCUUUAGGAUAUUUGUAUUUGCAUCAUGUCAUUUAAACUUAGCAGAGUUCGGUCCCAGACACCAUGUCUCAUUGUAGGAGGCCUAUCCAAAUUAUGUCAAAAAUAGGUUUAUGGCCCAAAAAGACAUGUAAUCAUCCAUAUGUGAUACAUGUUGCAUUUCUUUAAGGGUAAAUGGGUCAUAUGGCGGACCAAAGAUAUUUGAGAGUGAAAUAUAAAAUGAAGUAAGUGAUUUUACACUUUUCCAUUAUUUUCUAAAAAUGAAAAAGAAAAACCAAAAAGGUUUUACACUUUCCCAUUAUUUUCCAAAAGGACAAAAAAAAUCCAAAAAGAUUUUUAUACUUUCCCAUUAUUUUUCAAAAAUUAAAAAAAAAAUGAAAAUCCAAAAAGAUUAACAUUUUUCCAUUAUUUUCCAAAAUUCGAAAAAGGAAAAAAAAAGAAGAAAAUCAAAAAGAUGUUGCAUUUUCCAUCAUUUUUUCAAAAAGACAAAAAAUAUCUUUUUUCAAAUUAGAUGCAUUUUUUGAAUUCUAUCAUAUAUUUAAUCUUCCCGAACUACGCGAAUCUGAUUCUCGUCUUUCGGGGCAAGAUACGUAGGUAACCCACAUAGGGUCCGGUCUUCCUAGUGUCUUAGGUUCUUGCUUUGUGGGGUCUUUGCCAAAUCUUACAUGUGUAGCCACUUGUGGCCAUAUCGGCCAUUGUUGCAAAAUGAGAUCAUUUUCGCAAAAGUGGUUCAAUAACCCGUGUCUUAGGAUCUUGAGUCCAUAACUAGGUGACAUGUUACUUUAAGGACCGUUUUUAUUUUGCAUCUUUAGCCACUUCUGGCCAUAUCGGCUCUUUUCGUGAAAUGGGUUAUUUCUGCAAAUUAAAAUUUGGGGGGCCAUGAUACUGGCAGUUUGAAUUCAUAAAAGUCCUAUCCCGUCCUUAAACUACUUUUCCUAAGCCCCAGGCAUCCGGUUACCUUUGCGGAGAGUCAUUUUCCAUGUCCAUGAGGUCAAUUGUGUUGAGUUUGCGUAGAUAGCCACUCUUGGCCAUGUAGGUUAAUUUUCAAAAAUAGCCCAAUCCUGUCGUGCAAGUGUCCUAUAUGAGGUGCGGUCUCACAUAGUGUCUCGAGUCAUUUAUUCUGUUUGGCUUUGUUUUUCUCAUUUAGGUAUGGAUUCAUUUUCCACAGCUCGAGAAUGAUUGAUAUCCCAAGACCACUGCAUUCAGAAGCUACUUGAGGAGACUUUUUAUAUUUUGAGCAUGUUUUUGAGUCUUUAUGUGGUUUUACAGUUUUUCUAGUCUUUUGUUA